AUAAAAUAUGAAUAAUUGAUAAUAUUUAAGUACGAGCAUUAGUACUAAUGAUUUAUGAGAAAUUAUGUGGAAAAAUUAUCGACAAUUAUUAUUUAUUUAAUUACUGAGUAGUAAAAAAAUUAUUGAUAAAUUUUAAGAUUUGGCAUACAUCGUCUCGGCGGCGGUGGAGGCGGCAUAUUAUCUGGCCCCGAGCGAUAAGACGGCGGCGAAUAUCUUCCAGAUGGAAAACACCCAGGCGCGGAAAUGGGUGUCCCAUGAAGACCCUUACUUCCCAUCAUCUUGUCAGUGCAAGAAAAGAGCCAAGGGUCCCAAAGAAAUAACAGUGUGAAAAAAGCGAUUGCUGGGUCUUGGAUCUUAACUAAAUUUGAAAUUCUCUUGUCUAGUCUCGAGAGUACAGAAGCCCGAGCUCUGGUUUAGAUUUUCUAUGGGAUUUUCAUAGAAUUUCUUGGUAUCAAAAAGUCUUCUGCAAGAACACUAGCACAUAAUACGGUCAUGACGGAAGUCGUAGCAUAUUUAAAAAAAGUGGGGGUGGAGGCACUGUCUAAAAAUGGCCUUAAGCAUUAAAUCAAAAUAUAAAUUACCUUUAUUAGGAUCAGUCAAUAGAAAUGUGUCUCGAUGAAAUAUACUGUCACCAUACUCAACAAUCCAACCUAAUAUAGAUACCAUUUUAUAUGGCUCACGUUUAAAAUCUGAUCUAUCACAUCUGAAAAUAAAGAUAAAAAAAAUUAUUUAUUUAUACAUAUAAAUAUAUACAUAUACAUAUAUAUUUAUAUUAUAAUUUUAUAAACUAAUGUCAAUGUACCCGCUACAGGUAAUCUUUAAAAUUGAAACAGUCACGCAGCUGUCUAAACUAACUCGUGACUUUUUAAAAUCAAUAAUUAACUUACAUUGUAUGUAUUUAUACAAAUAAAAUUUUAAUAAUUUAUACAUUUUAUUGAUAAUAUCAAU